GGAAGGUCUUCCCCAGUGUGCCGUGGUAGGUGGGCGGAGUCACAGUGAUGUCCGGCCUUCUUAGGCUUGCACAUGCUGGAAAGGCACUCUCCUAAAGGGGGCAGUAGUAGGGAGGUGUAUCAGGAGCUCAGGGAUCUUGUGGAUGGGGUGUACCAUAUCUCCCAUAUAUAACAGCCCGUCUUCUCAGUUAUACUAUGCUUCGUGUGGUGUUUCUCGUUUAUGAACCUGUGCUGCCUGACCUGACUUUUGGCUUUCCUGACAAAGUAUCUGUUUAUUCCCCAUCUGUACCUCAUUUUUGGUCAUUUCCUCCAGCUACCUGCUGCAUUAUUCG